UCAAUAAAAGUGUAAGAGUUGAUAAAAAAUGAAUUAUAUUGAAAUAUACUAACAUAAAGAAUAUAGUUCAUCUUUUGGGGAAUUUGAUUAAGUUAUUUAAAGUUAGAGUUAAUAAAAGAAAAACUAACAAUAAAUAAUCACAAUUAAAUAGGUUAAGAGCAAAGGAGAAAUUUAAUUUGGGCCCUUCCUGCAGUUGUAUUUGGGUUUUGGCCUCAUUUCCAUUUUGUAUACACUUGUUGUAUGUCAGUGUAUAUCGGAUGUAUACAACCAAAUUUUCAGGGUUUCAAGACUUGUAUACUUGCUUUCCUCUCACUUCACGAUCCAGUUGAUGAGGUAGACUCGGAGAAUUUUUGGGUCUGACCCAACAAAAGAAAUGAAAGGAGAGGUGAAAGAGUCCAUUGGACUCAUCCCAUAUCACAUGCAAAGAAAAGGAAAAGAAUUAACAUUCACUCUUAGAUGUCACUAGGAAAACUAUAUAAAGUUUAACUUAAUUAAUCCAUGAAAUGUACUUAUUGUAAUGGACCUGGUAAUCAACGAGAAUAUUUCAUUUUUUUUUCAAUGGACUUCCAGACAAAGAUAUAAACAUGUUAUUUCAAAUGUAAAAAUCAUACCAACAUUAAAAAUGGAAACAUAAGCUUCCAAACAACCCAUAUAUAAGGAAUAAAUUAAAUGCAUAAAUAAAGGGGCAUAAAAUGACUAUUAAUAAGUAUUAGUUACACAAUAUGCACAUCUAAAAUGAGGAUCUUCAUAAAUGCAAGUAAAUGGCUGCGUGUGAGUAUUAAAGUUUAAUGCGAGGAAAACUUUUGAACUGAAAGGAGGCAAUACACAUGUUAAACUAUAUAGUCAGAAAUAAAAAUAAAAAAUAAAAAAUAAAAAAUAAAAAAUAAAAAAUAAAGCUAUUUAUGAGCUUAAGGAAAUGAGAUUACAAUAUUCAAAAGGAGGCAACAUCACUAAUUGAAAUAUGAUGACCUUUCAAGUUAAAUGGACAAACAUUAUAUCAAAAUUUGAUCAUAAUAAACAAAAUCUCAGUGCAAAUCUAAUGUUGAUGUGAUAUACACCAACUAAAAAUUCAAACUUUAUAACAUUUAUUUCUAGAAUUUCAAAUCAACAUGCUUAUCGGAGGGACUCAAACAGUGACCAGAACCGGACAUAUUGGACUACGAGUAAACUCAAAACAUUUAGCAAAUUCAUGACGUAUGAAUGGGCCAAACAAAUUGGAAACAACAUUACACACAUAUGCUUUUGAGAUGCAUUUUGCGCUUUAAUCGCCUAAGCAGACAAACAUGAGCAACAACAUCUUUUAUCUAUGAUUGCGGAAACAAGGAUAGUAUAGCUAAAACAAUACGAGGCAUAAAAAAAAAUUAAUGAGACGGAGGAGCUGAAAUAUCAUGGCAAAACAAAUAAGACAACAUUGUUACACAAGUGAGAUAAAUAGUCUAGUAAACAUAAAUCGAGGUUAUGAAGGAAUUUUACCUUUUCCGGAGCAGCAAACUGAGACGACAAGCUUGACCCUAAAGCUUUUACACCACUGUGACCUUAACUCGAGCAAGAAGAGAAUCAAUACAGAAAAAAAUAGCGAUCGGGUUUUCGUCCUCUCAAUUUAAAAAUUAACUUCUAUUUUUUAGAAUGUAAAAUCUCUUGUCUCCCACUUUCCUUAAUCCUCCUCUCUUUUCCCCACCCCAACACUAAAUAAAAAUGGAGGUUUAUAUAGAGGAAAUUUGGGGUCGAUUUAGGGGGGGAAAAGUUCAGCAAAAAUGCAAAAUCUUUUGAAUUUCUUCCCUCUUUUCCAAGGAAAUCAGUGGAAGAGAUUUGGAAAUCCCUGAAAAAUGGGAAAAGGAGAUGUGAUGCGGCUGCUGCAGGUGUUGACCUUUACUGGUUUGUUGGGAUUUUCUGGAUUUGCAAGGAAGAAGAAAAAACACAUGGGGUGGGGUUAGGUACUGCUGUUUGUAU
rnacentral:lncRNA from 1 species